rfam:Galdieria sulphuraria unplaced genomic scaffold scaf_27, whole genome shotgun sequence.
GGGCGCAUAGCUCAGAUGGUAGAGUGCUCGCUUAGCAUGCGAGAGGUCACGGGAUCGAUACCCGUUGCGUCCA